rnacentral:rRNA from 1 species
UACGUAGGGUGCAAGCGUUAAUCGGAAUUACUGGGCGUAAAGCGUGCGCAGGCGGUUGUGCAAGACAGAUGUGAAAUCCCCGGGCUCAACCUGGGAAUUGCAUUUGUGACUGCACGGCUAGAGUGUGUCAGAGGGGGGGUAGAAUUCCACGUGUAGCAGUGAAAUGCGUAGAGAUGUGGAGGAAUACCGAUGGCGAAGGCAGCCCCCCUGGGAUAACACUGACGCUCAUGCACGAAAAGCGUGGGGGAGCAAAACAGG